ensembl:lncRNA
UGAGAAUUAAGACACCCCCCCCUCCCCCCACCCCACCCCCAGCUCUGUGUGCUGCUUUGUGCUUCUUACCAAGGUGAUGUCCCGGGAUGCAGCAGCUGCACUCAUGUGCAGGCUGGGCUGGCGGAUGGAGCUGCUGCAAUCCAACGCGCGGGCGAACGUCCCAACGGCUCUGGUGGGGGGAGCGUGCCACCACCAGGAACUGGUCGAUCUGUCGGUCUGUCAGGGGGUUGUCGGGGUCCCACACUUUCAUCUCCAUUUUCUGUUGGUUCCGGUUGUCUGAUUCGCCUGGAGAAGGAGGGGGGGGGGAUGUGGGGGUCCAAUUAACCCCCCCCCACAGCGCACGGACCUCCCAACACAACGCAGCUCCCCCCCCCCUUUCCCCACACCUUCUGCCAGCCGGUCUGGGAUCUCUGCUUGGUAUUUGCAGCCCACCCGGAUCUCCCCCUGAUCGGCCAAAAGCGUUUUCUGGACGGGGUCGAACACCAACGAGUAGAAGAAGCAGUCCUGGGGGGGGGAGAAUCGAGGGGGGGAGCAAAAAAGGUGUUUAGUUGGGUUCCUGGGGGGCACAGAACCCCCCUCCCCACCAUAAAAACGUGUGGGGCUCAGCCCUCACCUCCUUUUCCAAGUACUGCCCCAGGAUAUCGGUCUCAUUGAGGAGCGUCACGCUGCACUUCCCCCUGCGGUGAGGGGGGGGUUACAAUUUGCCCCCUCCCAGGGGUGAAAUGAGGUGGGGAGGGGCCCUAAAUACGCCCCCCCGAAGCCCCUCCCACCUUAUAUGGGUGGCUGGCAGCGAUUCGAACUGCCGGGAGAGGAAAAGCUCGCGGUGCUUCAGCUGAUGCCGCUGCUGCUCCGUCAUGGUGGGCUGCUUGGAUUCCUCCUCAAAUUCGCCUUUGGGGGGGGGGCAGGGGAGGGGGGGGAAAGCAGGAGGGUGUUAAAAGGGCCCCCCCACCACGUCCCACACCUCCACCCCACCCUCAGGCAGAGAGGCAUUGUUUGAGGAGCGCUCCGUCCCUCCCCCGGAUUUUGGCAGCAAUACAAUCCCAAAAGGGAAGAAAGAAAAGAGGGGGGGGGAAGAAAAGUGGAGGGGGGGGGGGCAGCCAGCACUGCUUCAACACUUCUCAUUGGGGGGGGAGGGGGAGAAGGGGAGCACAGUCUCUAUCCAGCUUAGAUACACCCCGGGGUGGGGGACCUUCCUCCCCUCCCCCAUAAGCACCGUGCCCCCCCCUUCCCUCCCUCCCCGCCAUCACACCAAGGGACAAGCUGCCCCCCCCCACACCAAAAUGAGGAGGUUUGGGGGUGGGGGAGGCAGCCCGUGCGCUCCCCCCACUAUCAAACCUUCGGGACCAGAAAACAGAACGUUGGGUUUGGGUGGGGGUGACGCACAAACACAACAAUAAAACCUGCCCCAAAGAACGUGGAGGAGGAAAAAAAAAAGGGGGGGGCAAAACUGCAGCCCUCCCCCCCCCCCCCCAAAAAGAAUAACACUCACGGGCAUUGCUG